AACGAACGCUGGCGGCAUGCCUAACACAUGCAAGUCGAACGAGACCUUCGGGUCUAGUGGCGCACGGGUGCGUAACGCGUGGGAAUCUGCCCUUGGGUUCGGAAUAACAGUUGGAAACGACUGCUAAUACCGGAUGAUGACGUAAGUCCAAAGAUUUAUCGCCCAAGGAUGAGCCCGCGUAGGAUUAGCUAGUUGGUGAGGUAAAGGCUCACCAAGGCGACGAUCCUUAGCUGGUCUGAGAGGAUGAUCAGCCACACUGGGACUGAGACACGGCCCAGACUCCUACGGGAGGCAGCAGUGGGGAAUAUUGGACAAUGGGCGAAAGCCUGAUCCAGCAAUGCCGCGUGAGUGAUGAAGGCCUUAGGGCUGUAAAGCUCUUUUACCCGGGAUGAUAAUGACAGUACCGGGAGAAUAAGCUCCGGCUAACUCCGUG
rnacentral:rRNA from 1 species